rnacentral:rRNA from 1 species
UGGUGCAUGGUUGUCGUCAGCUCGUGUCGUGAGAUGUUGGGUUAAGUCCCGCAACGAGCGCAACCCUUGUGUUUAGUUGCAAACAGGUCAAGCUGUGCACUCUAGACAGACUGCCGUGGACAACACGGAGGAAGGUGGGGAUGACGUCAAAUCAUCAUGCCCCUUAUGAUCUGGGCUACACACGUGCUACAAUGGCCGGUACAACGGGCAGCGAAGGAGCGAUCCGGAGCGAAUCCUAAAAAGCCGGUCCCAGUUCGGAUUGCAGGCUGAAACUCGCCUACAUGAAGUUGGAGUUGCUAGUAAUCGCGAAUCAGAAUGUCGCGGUGAAUGCGUUCCCGGGUCUU